GACGAACGCUGGCGGCGUGCUUAACACAUGCAAGUCGAACGGAAAGGCCCUGCUUUUGUGGGGUGCUCGAGUGGCGAACGGGUGAGUAACACGUGAGUAACCUGCCCUUGACUUUGGGAUAACUUCAGGAAACUGGGGCUAAUACCGGAUAGGAGCUCCUGCUGCAUGGUGGGGGUUGGAAAGUUUCGGCGGUUGGGGAUGGACUCGCGGCUUAUCAGCUUGUUGGUGGGGUAGUGGCUUACCAAGGCUUUGACGGAUAGCCGGCCUGAGAGGGUGGCCGGCCACAUUGGGACUGAGAGACGGACCAGACUCCUACGGGAGGCAGCAGUGGGAAAUAUUGCACAGUGGGCGGAAGCCUGAUACAGCAACGCCGCGUGCGGGAUGACGGCCUUCGGGUUGUAAACCGCUUUCGCCUGUGACGAAGCGUGAGUGACGGUAAUGGGUAAAGAAGCACCGGCUAACUACGUG
rnacentral:rRNA from 1 species